rnacentral:rRNA from 1 species
CCUACGGGUGGCAGCAGUGAGGAAUAUGGUCAAUGGGCGCGAGCCUGAACCAGCCAAGUAGCGUGAAGGAUGACUGCCCUACGGGUUGUAAACUUCUUUUAUAAAGGAAUAAAGUGAGGCACGUGUGCCUAUUUGUAUGUACUUUAUGAAUAAGGAUCGGCUAACUCCGUGCCAGCAGCCGCGGUAAUACGGAGGGUCCGGGCGUUAUCCGGAUUUAUUGGGGUUAAGGGGAGCGUAGAUGGGUUGUUAAGUCAGUUGUGAAAGUUUGCGGCUAAACCGUAAAAUUGCAAUUGAUACUGGCAGCCUUGAGUACAGUUGGGGUAAGCGGAAUUCGUGGUGUAGCGGUGAAAUGCUUAGAUAUCACGAAGAACUCCGAUUGCGAAGGCAGCCUACUAAACUGCCACUGACAUUGAUGCUCGAAAGUGUGGGUAUCAAACAGGAUUAGAUACCCCUGUAGUC